UAGGGAAUAUUAGAAAUGGACGAAAGUCUGAUCUAGCAACACCGCGUGUGCGAAGAAGGCCUCGGGUCGUAAAGCACUUUUUGGAAGGAAUAGGAAGGAAUGUACUUCCAGAAUAAGUCUCGGCUAACUACGUGCCAGCAGCCGCGGUAACACGUAGGAGGCAAACGUUAUCCGGAUUUACUGGGCGUAAAGAGCGUGUAGGUGGUACUGUAAGUAGGGCGUGAAAGCUCCUGGCUCAACUGGGAGAGGCCGUUCUAAACUACAGAACUAGAGGAUGGUAGAGGGAGGUGGAAUUCCGGGUGUAGCGGUGGAAUGCGCCGAUAUCCGGAGGAACACCAGUGGCGCAAGCGGCCUCCUGGACCAUUCCUGACACUCAGACGCGAAAGCUAGGGUAGCAAACG
rnacentral:rRNA from 1 species